UGGGGAAUAUUGCACAAUGGGCGAAAGCCUGAUGCAGCAACGCCGCGUGAGUGAUGAAGGUCUUCGGAUUGUAAACUCUGUCUUUUGGGACGAUAAUGACGGUACCAAAGGAGGAAGCCACGGCUAACUACGUGCCAGCAGCCGCGGUAAUACGUAGGUGGCGAGCGUUGUCCGGAUUUACUGGGCGUAAAGGGUGCGUAGGCGGAUGUUUAAGUGAGAUGUGAAAUACCCGGGCUUAACUUGGGUGCUGCAUUUCAAACUGGAUAUCUAGAGUGCAGGAGAGGAGAAUGGAAUUCCUAGUGUAGCGGUGAAAUGCGUAGAGAUUAGGAAGAACACCAGUGGCGAAGGCGAUUCUCUGGACUGUAACUGACGCUGAGGCACGAAAGCGUGGGUAGCAAACAGGAUUAGAUACCCUGGUAGUCCACGCCGUAAACGAUGAGUACUAGGUGUAGGAGGUAUCGACCCCUUCUGUGCCGCAGUAAACACAUUAAGUACUCCGCCUGGGAAGUACGAUCGCAAGAUUAAAACUCUAAAGUGAAUUGAC
rnacentral:rRNA from 1 species